UACGAAGGGGGCUAGCGUUGCUCGGAAUCACUGGGCGUAAAGCGCACGUAGGCGGAUUGCUAAGUCAGGGGUGAAAUCCUGGAGCUCAACUCCGGAACUGCCCUUGAUACUGGCGGUCUCGAGUCCGGGAGAGGUGAGUGGAACUGCGAGUGUAGAGGUGAAAUUCGUAGAUAUUCGCAAGAACACCAGUGGCGAAGGCGGCUCACUGGCCCGGUACUGACGCUGAGGUGCGAAAGCGUGGGGAGCAAACAGG
rnacentral:rRNA from 1 species